GGGGAUUUAGCUCAGAGGUAGAGCGCUUGCCUAGCAAGCACAAGACCCUGGGUUCGGUCCCCAGCUCCG
rnacentral:tRNA from 1 species